CAGUAGCCGCGGAAAUACGAAGGGUGCAAGCGUUACUCGGAAUUACUGGGCGUAAAGCGUGCGUAGGUGGUGGUUUAAGUCCGUUGUGAAAGCCCUGGGCUCAACCUGGGAAUUGCAGUGGAUACUGGGUCACUAGAGUGUGGUAGAGGAUAGUGGAAUUUCCGGUGUAGCAGUGAAAUGCGUAGAGAUCGGAAGGAACAUCUGUGGCGAAGGCGACUAUCUGGGCCAACACUGACACUGAGGCACGAAAGCGUGGGGAGCAAACAGGAUUAGAUACCCCCGUAGUCCCUGUCUCUUAUAC
rnacentral:rRNA from 1 species